AAGGCUUUAAGUUAAGUUAAACUGAUAACCUUCAAAGCUAUUAAUAAAGGCAUAAUUCUUUAAGUCUUA
rnacentral:tRNA from 1 species